rfam:Ensifer sp. Root278 contig_7, whole genome shotgun sequence.
CGCGGGACGACCCGCGUCGGUGCUUCGCCUGGGGACGGCCCCA